rnacentral:rRNA from 1 species
GAUGAACGCUGGCGGCGUGCUUAACACAUGCAGGUCGAACGGAAAGGCCCAAGCUUGCUUGGGUACUCGAGUGGCGAACGGGUGAGUAACACGUGGGUGAUCUGCCCUGCACUUCGGGAUAAGCCUGGGAAACUGGGUCUAAUACCGGAUAGGACCACAUUUUGGAUGGUGUGGUGGAAAGUUUUUCGGUGUGGGAUGAGCUCGCGGCCUAUCAGCUUGUUGGUGGGGUAAUGGCCUACCAAGGCGUCGACGGGUAGCCGGCCUGAGAGGGUGUACGGCCACAUUGGGACUGAGAUACGGCCCAGACUCCUACGGGAGGCAGCAGUGGGGAAUAUUGCACAAUGGGCGCAAGCCUGAUGCAGCGACGCCGCGUGGGGGAUGACGGCCUUCGGGUUGUAAACUCCUUUCGCUAGGGACGAAGCGUUUUUGUGACGGUACCUGGAGAAGAAGCACCGGCUAACUACGUG